rnacentral:rRNA from 3 species
UUUCAGCAGGGAAGAAGCGAAAGUGACGGUACCUGCAGAAGAAGCGCCGGCUAACUACGUGCCAGCAGCCGCGGUAAUACGUAGGGCGCAAGCGUUGUCCGGAAUUAUUGGGCGUAAAGAGCUCGUAGGCGGCUUGUCACGUCGGGUGUGAAAGCUCGGGGCUUAACCCCGAGUCUGCAUUCGAUACGGGCUAGCUAGAGUGUGGUAGGGGAGAUCGGAAUUCCUGGUGUAGCGGUGAAAUGCGCAGAUAUCAGGAGGAACACCGGUGGCGAAGGCGGAUCUCUGGGCCAUUACUGACGCUGAGGAGCGAAAGCGUGGGGAGCGAACAGGAUUAGAUACCCUGGUAGUCCACGCCGUAAACGGUGGGAACUAGGUGUUGGCGACAUUCCACGUCGUCGGUGCC